UAGGGAAUCUUCCGCAAUGGACGCAAGUCUGACGGAGCAACGCCGCGUGAGUGAAGAAGGAUUUCGGUUCGUAAAACUCUGUUGUUAGGGAAGAAAAAAUGUAUAGUAACUAUAUACAAAAGAGACGGUACCUAACCAGAAAGCCACGGCUAACUACGUGCCAGCAGCCGCGGUAAUACGUAGGUGGCAAGCGUUGUCCGGAAUUAUUGGGCGUAAAGCGCGCGCAGGUGGUUUAGAAAGUCUGAUGUGAAAGCCCACGGCUCAACCGUGGAGGGUCAUUGGAAACUAAUAAACUUGAGUGCAGGAGAGAAAAGUGGAAUUCCUAGUGUAGCGGUGAAAUGCGUAGAGAUUAGGAGGAACACCGGUGGCGAAGGCGGCUUUUUGGCCUGCAACUGACGCUGAGGCGCGAAAGCGUGGGGAGCAAACAGG
rnacentral:rRNA from 1 species